GCACUGGGGAGUUUCCCAAAGCAUACAGUUGUAUACAGUUAGAACUGAGGCCAGGUAGGGUCAGGGCAGGACACUGCCUAUCAGAAAAAGCCAGAUAGUCUACUCUGUAAGGCCUGUGAGCUCUCCUGUCAGGGAGGCCUUUGUUUUUUGUGCCUGUGUGAAAUGCUGCUGCACAUGUGGUCACAAAAACAGAAGACGCCUGCUCUCACCCUCUCCUGAAAUCUUUUUGACAUCUCCUGUCUGUCUCCAGUCCAACUCUACCUGUCACCUUCUCCCUGUCAUAUCCGUUAGAGCCUCUGGGUAUGACAGGUUUGGCCAGGCAGAGAAGAGAGGAAGGCCCAGGGAAGGAAGGCAGAAGCCAUGGCAAGAGAAAAGGAGAAGAGACACG
rnacentral:lncRNA from 1 species